GACGAACGCUGGCGGCGUGCUUAACACAUGCAAGUCGAACGGAAAGGCCCUGCUUUUGUGGGGUGCUCGAGUGGCGAACGGGUGAGUAACACGUGAGUAACCUGCCCUUGACUUUGGGAUAACUUCAGGAAACUGGGGCUAAUACCGGAUAGGAGCUCCUGCUGCAUGGUGGGGGUUGGAAAUUUUCGGCGGUUGGGGAUGGACUCGCGGCUUACCAGCUUGUUGGUGGGGUAGUGGCUUACCAAGGCUUUGACGGGUAGCCGGCCUGAGAGGGUGACCGGCGACAUUGGGACUGAGAUACGGCCCAGACUCCUACGGGAGGCAGCAGUGGGGAAUAUUGCACAAUGGGCGGAAGCCUGAUGCAGCAACGCCGCGUGCGGGAUGACGGCCUUCGGGUUGUAAACCGCUGUCGCCUGUGACGAAGCGUGAGUGACGGUAAUGGGUAAAGAAGCACCGGCUAACUACGUG
rnacentral:rRNA from 1 species